rnacentral:lncRNA from 1 species
CUCCCUCUCUGCUCUACUAAACCCUGCUUCCUGUCCCACAUAGACUCCUCCUGCAGGGUUCAUCUCAGGUCUCUGACGGUUUAGAUGUUCUCAUAUGGAGGCAGCAUCCCUCUAUAAGAUCACUGAGAUGAGUUGAUGAGAAGCCACCUCUAAUUCAUGUGGAGUGGUUUGUCUGUCUCAUUCUUUCUGUCUCCUUAACAGUGAGUCAACAUGAUCAGAAUUCUUAUCUCCAUCACCAUGGGUUACACAGCCUGGGCUGCAGGUUCUUCUCUCAGUAACCAGGUUCACCAAACACCUGCAGCCCUGUACAAGAAACAGGGAGAGUUGUUUAAGAUGGAGUGUUCACAUAGUAUAUCAACCUAUAAUGUCAUCCUCUGGUACAAGCAAUCCAACUACAGAGAAUUGGUGUUUUUAGGAUACAUGACAGCAAAAACUGGAUUUCCUGAGGCUGGAUUUGAUAUAGAAGGAGAUGCUAGUGCAGGUGGUACCAGCACCUUAACCAUCAAACAACUAACUCCAAAUAGCAGUGCUGUCUAUUACUGUGCUGCUAGUUUACACAGUGCAUCAGAUCUCCCUCUCUGCUCUACAAAAACCUCCUGGUGUACCCCUGGUGUACUGCAGACUAAUCACACCUGUAUUAACAUUACACUGUAUCUGACUCUGAUUCAAUGCCAAAACACUCACCAGCUGGUCUAAUAGAAAGGGGAGGUUCCCUCUGAUAUACAGGAGACCAUGAUACAGUAUGGUAUGAUAUCAUGUAUUUCCUGUAGGUGGAGUUACAGCUCAACUAAUCCAUGUGGACUCACCAGACACAGUACCACAGUAAACUAUGGUGUGUAGUAAGGAGUCUGAGAGUUGAAGAUCCAUGUCCUUUUAAAUGUUCAUCUGGACCUUUGAACGUGAAUCUCUUGAUUAUUCUGGAAUACAGAUUAGAUACUGUCUAAAAUAAUCUAUAAUUCCAUAUAUUUCCUGAAUGACUACAGUACUUAUAACAAACAGGUCUCUCUCUCCUCUUCUGUAACAGGUGAACUGCUCUGUUCCAGCGUUCUUCAGUCUCCAUCUUCAGUAUUUCAGAGUUCUGAAGAAACUGCUGUGCUGUUCACACAGCUACAACACCAUACUGUGGUAUCAGCAGGUGGAACACACUCUCCCCAGCUACAACACCAUACUGUGGUAUCAGCAGGUGGA